AACUCGCCUACAUGAAGUCGGAAUCGCUAGUAAUCGCGGAUCAGCAUGCCGCGGUGAAUACGUUCCCGGGCCUUGUACACACCGCCCGUCACACCAUGAGAGUUUGUAACACCCAAAGCCGGUGGGGUAACCUUUUGGAGCCAGCCGUCUAAGGUGGGACAGAUGAUUGGGGUGAAGUCGUAACAAGGUACC
rnacentral:rRNA from 1 species